AAAGUUUGUAGCAUGCGUGCUUGUUGUUUUUGUCUGCUUCCACUUGUCUUUGCACUAGGAUGAUGUUGGAGUAAAUGUGCAGUCAUAUUCGUUGUGUUCCUGUAACCCAGUGUUAAUUUGGUUAUCUAGUGGGAGGGGCUAUGAGCUCACGUGGCUUGUAGCUGUGCCAGAGAGCAAGCUGGGGUGAGCUAGCGGGGAAUAUCGCCUUCUGCAGUAGCCUUGAAAAGGACUAUUGUUCGUUCUCCUGCCAGACGUUUCGCUGCUGUGCUGCCUCGCUGCUGUGCUGCCUUACUACUGUGCUGCCUUACUGGUGCCAUUAAAGGACAAGCGGCCGCCAUCCCUUCAUCCAUCCGGACCUUGAUUAUUUGGACCGAAGUACUCACACACACGCCCGCACUCAGUGCCAUACACUCUCUUUAUUUUGCUGGCCAGCUAAUAUCAUUUGUUUUUUUUUGUUUUGUUUUCAUUCACAAAGACUAUCCAAAGACAUUUUGGUUAUUGUCGAAUAGACACUCUUUGAUUACGGACUGAGGAGGUUGUGGUGUUACAACCCCAGGACUGAGAAAAAGGACUCUUUACAUAAUAUAUUCACUUGUCUCCUGGUUAGGAAAAGUGACUAUUGAUGGAAAUAUUUUUCUUCUUCUUGUCUUUGUUUACAUUGUAUCCCAGAGAAGUUUUAAGUUGUUCAGGUUGAAACAUUUGCACUUAAAGUCGGUUAAGUUUCCUUUGAUAUAUCAGUGUCAAGCUGAUGUUUAAGAGGGUAUGUUAAGGACAGAUGUGCUCCAGUCCAUCAAUCCUUUAAAGUGCUGGACACCGAUGGUAAAUUGCCAUCAGACCCUAAAUAAAUUGUCCUCUGCUGUUAUCCAUAUUGCUUCACUCAUUCUGUGAGUAUACGUAUUGGUUACAUUCCCACUAGUGCUGUCAGCGUUAAUCUCAUUAAAAUGACUUUAACGCCAUUAAACGGCAAAUCUCCGUUAAUGAGCUACUGCGGAUCGUCCCGUGCGUGGGGCUGGACGGCGUCAACACGUUAACAAGCUAACGGCGCUA
ensembl:lncRNA